ensembl:misc_RNA Metazoa_SRP Metazoan signal recognition particle RNA
ACCAUGCACGCAGUGGCGCAUGCCUUGUAGUCCCAGCUACUCGGGAGUCUGGGGCAGGAGGAUUGCUUUAGCCCAGGAGCACUGGGCUGCAGUGCGCUGUGCCAAUGGGGUGUCCACCUCGGAGCGAGGGGACCACCUAAGGAGGGGUGAGCCGGCCCAAGUCUGAACCAGAGCAAGUCAAACUCCCGUGCUGACCAGUAGUGGGAUGGAGCCUGUGACUAGCCACUGCACUCCAGCCUGGGAAACAUAGUGAGACCUCUCUCUA